rnacentral:misc_RNA from 1 species
CACAAGAGCCAGCUGAGCCCUUUUCCGAGAACGAAUUCUUUGCACGACAGUUUGCACCCGAUUUUGUUGACGAUAUAGCGAUAAACCAGAUACAAUAACUUCAUUUUUUGUUGCUUCACUGUUUGCAGUUUCAUGGCCACUAAGCAAUGGCGCAAUCUCAGGUAAGAAAUCAAUCCCUGCCAAAUGCUGCGCCCACUUAUAAGGACGUGAAGUUCUAGUUUCAUCAAAUGCAGGGGGAUCUCCAACAAAGAGCUUAGCUGACUGAUGAGGAAGCUCAACACCAGUGUCAUCAGGAAAUAAGUUGCAUAAGAUGUUAUUCUCAGGUCCUUCAUGAGAUCCCUCAACCCCAACACAAACAAUAUUCAACUUGAACAAGUAUUCAAACUUCAAAGUGAUAAGCUUUGCAGAUUUUGGAUCGGAAACCUCAUCAUCAUAUACAUGGAGUAUGAUCUUAAGUGGAUGAACUUGCAAUACUCCUACAUGGUCCAGACUCUCCUUGCUUGGAACCCUCUUUGGCCGUUUUCUCCUUCUCUGGCCAUCAUCUUCCUCGUCAGGUGCAUCAUCCUCCAACCUGGAACUCUCUACAGUGGAAGAUAUGCCUGUAUCUUUAUUUGCCUGCUGACGGGCAAAAGCUUGAGCAUCUUUCAGACUCCCCACAAUCUCCAGAUCAAUAUGUUCUCCAAAGGCUUCCUUUUGUGCCAGGAACUGUGUGUAAAUCACAUAAAGAGGAGGAGGAAGUAACUCUGCUGAGUUUUGCUGCUUUAAUUUCUUUGUAUGCAGAACCCCUAAUUGGUUCUGUACAGGCAAGGAUGCCUUCUUGAGUGAUUUGAGGUGUGAGGGGAGACUUGAUAAGAACUUCUUCCGGUUUGCAAUGGUCUCCAACAAACUUUUCUUACGUUGUUCCAGUUUCUCAUGAAGUUUGCACAGUUCCUUGCGCUGGUGCAGCUCAUAAUUGAGCCUCUUGAGCAUCAAAUUAUGUGAAGUAUCGUCAGACAAAACAGGACCUUUGAUAUUUUCAGGCGCAUCACGGAAAAAUUCUUCUUCCGGAACAAGCUCAAUAUCAGGAUAUUUAGACUUGAAAUCUUUACAAGCUUUUAUAGCUUUAACAUAGUGGCUCUUCUCAUACAUCAAAUUAUGAAGCUGCAAAGUCGUGAAAUCCACCGGCGCCUUUGCACGUUCCGUCUCCGCUUUCACUCUAUCCUCUUCCAAUAGAAUCGAGCGGUUCGCCUGGCGGAGAGUGACGAAGUGGAGAAAAAUUUGGGUGACGAGUUCGCGGAGCUCCGAUUUAGGCUUGUUUUCUUUCUUUAUGGUGAGAAUCUGGGCUACGAUUUCCUCCACUGAGACUUUGCCUUCUCGCAGCAUUUCGUAGGGUGACUUCCCAUUCUUAGGCUGCGUUGUUAACUGUGCAUCCUCUUCCAUCGCCACUCCCUCCACUAUCUCUCCGUCCUCCAUACUCUUCUUCUCCUCAGUUGCUCGGGUGUUCUCUUUUUACCUCGGCUUCUGUAAAAUCUGGUCAAGGGCUUAUUUUCUUCUCAAUGAAUUGGAGGUUUGAUUUUCGCCGGCUGCCUCUCCCGUUGUUUCAUUAAUC